rnacentral:rRNA from 1 species
UGCAGUCCGCAACUCGACUGCAUGAAGCUGGAAUCGCUAGUAAUCGCGGAUCAGAAUGCCGCGGUGAAUACGUUCCCGGGUCUUGUACACACCGCCCGUCACACCAUGGGAGUCAGUAACGCCCGAAGUCAGUGACCGAACCGAGAGGACGGAGCUGCCGAAGGCGGGACGGAUAACUGGGGUGAAGUCGUAACAAGGUAUC